CUUGAAACAGGAAAAGCCUCUGAAAAUGAUAUGAAACAAGGGAUACUGACUAGGUUCCAGGAGUUUGUCUGGUGUGACCUAUGACUUAUCACAAACUGGAACAUUUCUUACAAUUUGCAGAGGAAUAUGGAAGCCGAAAACCAUGAGUUUGGCUGCAUCAAGAUUUCAUAAAAUUCAUAUACAAUGACUAGCAGAGAUGGGCAGAUUGUGC
rnacentral:lncRNA from 1 species